rnacentral:sRNA from 1 species
CCGGACGCCAAACCGGGUCCGGUUGGACAUCGAGAGCGCCGGCUCAUCGAUACCGGCGCAUCUCAUGCCCAAAUUGCUCAAAUGGAGGAUUUGGAGAUGAGAC